UACGUAGGGGGCAAGCGUUGUCCGGAUUUAUUGGGCGUAAAGAGCGUGUAGGCGGCCUGACAGGUCUGCUGUGAAAACUCGAGGCUCAACCUCGAGAUGUCGGCGGAAACCGUCUGGCUAGAGUCCGGAAGAGGAGAGUGGAAUUCCUGGUGUAGCGGUGAAAUGCGUAGAUAUCAGGAGGAACACCUGUGGUGUAGACAGCUUACUGGACCAUUUCUGACGCUGAGACACGAAAGCGUGGGUAGCAAACAGG
rnacentral:rRNA from 1 species